CUCUCUCUCUCCCUACUCUGUCUCUGUCUGUCUCCUCAAAUCUCCAGGCUCAAAGCUUCAGCCCACCAGGUUGGUAGAGUAUACAUCUACAGUGAUUAUAGCAGUUCUAUAUUAGUCAACUUUAUACCACAUGGAUAAUUUCCUGGAUCCAUACACACCAUACAGUCCAUUCAAAACAACAACAAGAAGAAGUCCUAUUCCAUGGAACUACUAACACUUGUCACCCACAAAGCAUUACUGCUGUUAUAAUAACAGAAUCACUGUCAUCAUCUGUCCUCACCACUGUGGUUUCCUCUCUGCUGUUUACAGCUGAACACUCAGUCAGACUGGUGAAUGGGACAGGUCUGGCACAGCGGAAGUCUUCUCCAGAGGAGAGUGGUCAGGUCUAUGUACUGAGUGGUCGGGCAUGAUGAGAGAGACUAAGGUUGUGUGUAGAGAGCUGGACUGUGGGAAUGUUGUAGCUGAGUCUAGAGGGCCUCUGUUUGAAAAGGGAAGAAGAGGAGUCAGACUAGGUGGUCGUUAUGGAGAUGAGUCUUCUAUUACAGAGUGUGACAUCAUCAGAAGAGGACAAAGUGUCUGUGAUGGUGAAUAGUAUCAUCAUGUGACCUGUUCAGAGUCUGUGCGGCUUGUGGAUGGAGCUGGUCUCUGCUCUGGGAGAGUGGAGGUGAAGUCCAAUCAGUCCUGGGCCUCAGUGUGUGAAGCUGACUUUGACCGGCAGGAUGCAGAGGUAGUCUGUGGGGAGCUUGGCUGUGGGGCUCCUGCAGCUCUACAGGGGGGGCUCUAUGGAGAAGGUGAGGGUCAGACCUGGGAUAAAGAGUUCCAGUGUAAAGGCAAAGAGUCCCUUCUCCUGGACUGUGACACCUCAGACAGAGAAAACAACACCUGUCUACCUGGUAAUGCUGUUGGACUCACCUGCUCAGAGCCUGAUGAUGUAAGGCUGGUGGGAGGAGGCAGUCGCUGUGCUGGUGGAGUGGAGCGAUACGACCAGGGAGAGUGGAGGACUGUGGGAGCUGAAGACUGGGACCAGAGAGAUGUAGCUGUAGUAGUGUGUAGACAGCUGGGCUGUGCAGUGGAACGACCAGGGAGAGUGGAGGACUGUGGGAGAUGAAGACUGGGACCAGAGAGAUGUAGCUGUAGUAGUGUGUAGACAGCUGGGCUGUGCAGUGGUAUGACCAGGGAGAGUGGAGGACUGUGGGAGAUGAAGACUGGGACCAGAGGGAUGUAGCUGUAGUAGUGUGUAUACAGCUGGGCUGUGGCUCUACUGUUUCAGAACUACUUGGAAACACCACUAGAGGGUUUGGAGUUUACUGUUCUGGGUCUGAGCCUUCACUGAGGGAAUGUUGAAGAACACAUUAACUCCUUCCUGUAUUCACAGUGAUCUGCUCAGAUCUCCUGGUUCAGCCUGAGACCCUUCCUCAAUGGGAGGAGUCUCCAGGGGCCACCAGGGGCCACAACUUCACCAUCACCUGCUCCACUCAGCCACGGUACCCAGGAGGCUCCUUCCUCCCCACGUUCACCGGCUCCAACAGAACCCAGAUCCAGCCAGCUGUGAAUCACUCUGCUGCCUUCCUAUUCCAUGCUGCAGAAGGCUAACCACCAAGGGAACUACAGCUGUGUUUAUUUAGAUCAAAACAAAUGUAUUUAUAUAGCCCUUAAUACAUCAGCUGAUAUCUCAAAGUGCUGUACAGAAACCCAGCCUAAAACCCCAAACAGCAAGC